rnacentral:rRNA from 1 species
UACGAAGGGGGCGAGCGUUGUUCGGAAUUACUGGGCGUAAAGGGCGCGUAGGCGGCCUGUUAAGUCGAACGUGAAAUCCCCGGGCUCAACCCGGGAACUGCGUCCGAUACUGGCAGGCUUGAAUCCGGGAGAGGGAUGCGGAAUUCCAGGUGUAGCGGUGAAAUGCGUAGAUAUCUGGAGGAACACCGGUGGCGAAGGCGGCAUCCUGGACCGAGAUUGACGCUGAUG